GGAAAAACUGAUAAAACGGAAAGCAAAUUUGCAGUUUCCAAGAACCUAUUCAUGAUGUUAUGUGAGGACUUACUGUCCUUGAAAAAACACCUCCCCAAAAGUAGGGUCUCACUCUGUCACCCAGGCUGGAGUGCAGAGGCAUGAUCUCGG